CCUACGGGAGGCAGCAGUAGGGAAUAUUGCUCAAUGGGGGCAACCCUGAAGCAGCAACUCCGCGUGGAGGAUGAAGGUUUUCGGAUUGUACACUCCUUUUGUUAGAGAAGAUAAUGACGGUAUCUAACGAAUAAGCACCGGCUCACUACGUUCCAGCAGCCGCGGUAAUACCGAGGGUGCAAGCGUUACUCGGACGCACUGGGCGGAAAGAGGGCGUAGGCGGGAUAGCAAGUCAGAUGUGAAAUCAUAUGGCUUAACCAUAGAACUGCAUGUGAAACUGUUAUUCUAGAGUAUGGGAGAGGUAGGUGGAAUUCUUGGUGUAGGGGUAAAAUCCGUAGAGAUCAAGAGGAAUACGCAUUGCGAAGGCGACCUGCUAGAACAUAACUGACGCUGAUGCGCGAAAGCGUGGGGAGCAAACAGGAUUAGAUACCCCAGUAGUC
rnacentral:rRNA from 1 species